rnacentral:misc_RNA from 1 species
UUCGAGCGUCAUUAUAACCACUCAAGCUCUCGCUUGGUAUUGGGGUGCGCGGUUCCGCGGCCUCUAAAGUCAGUGGCGGUGCCUGUCGGCUCUACGCGUAGUAAUACUCCUCGCGUCUGGGUCCGGUAGGUUGCUUGCCAACAACCCCCAAUUUUUUACAGGUUGACCUCGGAUCAGGUAGGGAUACCCGCUGAACUUAA